rnacentral:rRNA from 1 species
UACGUAGGUGGCGAGCGUUGUCCGGAAUCACUGGGCGUAAAGGGCGCGUAGGCGGCUUGACAAGUCGCAUGUGAAAAACCAGGGCUCAACCCUGGGGGGUCAUGCGAAACUGUCGGGCUUGAGUGCAGUAGAGGUAAGCGGAAUUCCUGGUGUAGCGGUAAAAUGCGUAGAGAUCAGGAGGAACACCGGUGGCGAAGGCGGCUUACUGGGCUGCAACUGACGCUGAGGCGCGAAAGCGUGGGGAGCAAACAGG